GACGAACGCUGGCGGCGUGCUUAACACAUGCAAGUCGAACGAAGUGGCGAACGGGUGAGUAACGCGUAAUAAACCUGCCCUUCAGAGGGGGACAACAGUUGGAAACGAAUGCUAAUAUCGCAUACUGAAGGAGGGGAUUGCGUGUGAUUAGAUAGUGGGAGGGGUAACGGCCCACCAGGGCGAUGAUCAGUAACCGGUGUGAGAGGAUGAACGGCCACAUUGGGAAUGAGACACGGCCCAGACUCCUACGGGAUGCAGAAGUGGGGAAUCUUCCGAAAUGGACGAAAGUCGGACGGAGCAACGCCGCGUGAGUGAUGACGGCCUUCGGGUUGUAAAGCUCUGUUAAUCGGGACGCGGUACCGGAAUAGAAAGCAACGGCUAACUACGUGCCAGCAGCCGCAGUAAUAC
rnacentral:rRNA from 1 species